rnacentral:rRNA from 1 species
GGGCCCGCACAAGCGGUGGAGCAUGUGGUUUAAUUCGAUGCAACGCGAAGAACCUUACCUGGUCUUGACAUCCACGGAAGUUUUCAGAGAUGAGAAUGUGCCUUCGGGAACCGUGAGACAGGUGCUGCAUGGCUGUCGUCAGCUCGUGUUGUGAAAUGUUGGGUUAAGUCCCGCAACGAGCGCAACCCCUAUUGUUAGUUGCCAUCAUUAAGUUGGGCACUCUAGCGAGACUGCCGGUAAUAAACCGGAGGAAGGUGGGG